rnacentral:ncRNA from 2 species
GGAUCUCCAACUGUUUGCGGUGCAGGGAAGCCGGUGUGAGUCCGGCGCGGUCCCGCCACUGUGACCGGGGAGCUCGUCGGCUCGUUCCUCGGGCAGCCAGACACCGGCCGCAGAUGUUCGUGCGUU